GCCUCUCCUCCCUCCCCGUCUUCGUCGUGGCGCAGCCUCCUCCUGCGAGUGCGCGAUGCGACCGGCCUUCUCCGCCUCCAAGCCGUCGCCGUCCGGGAGGGAGAAGGGCAGGAGGAAGGGCGCCGCCGAGCAGCUGCUCGCCGACCAGGUCCUCUCCCUCCGCGCUCGCCUCCACGGCGCCCUCGCCCUCGGCCUCACCAAGUCUGAUGGCCACGGUGCUAAAAGAUGGCGGUCUACUGAUGCUGGAAUACAGUCUCAUGUGCUCAAAGCGGUGGCUGCGUUUGUCGGUUCCCUGACAAAUGAUGCACUUAGGCUUGCACCUGUAAAGGAGUCAGUUUCAGAUAUACUCCUAGCACUGGAAGGUAUUCUUAAGACAAACAACGUUUCAGUGCUGAUCCAAGCAGCAGAUGUGAGCUUAAAGUUGGUUUCCUGUAUAGGAAAUUCUGUUCGACAGUACCAAAUUUUGGAAAUGGUUUCAUCCCUGUCAUGCCAGUUGUCUUCAGACCACCUGCGUAUAGCCAUACCAUGUGCAAGUGCACUGACCUGUAUACUGAAUAGCCUAGUUACAGCGAGAGCUUCAGCUCAGGCAGAAAUCUGGGAGGCUCUUGAGAAAACCAAUGCAGCUGCAAGUGUUAUUUCAGCUCUGCAGAAUUACGCCCAUGAUGUUCAUCCCCUGAACUAUCUGACGGAGAUGAUAUCUCUGCUAAGGAGUAUCCUGUGGAUUUGGCCCUCUUCGAGAUACCAUGUUUGGAGUAACUGCAACUUGAUGGCGAAGCUGGCACAAUAUUGUUUUAGUGCUGAAACAACAGUUGCUGCGAAAAUUCUUAAGCUGUAUGCUGCUUUAGGUACUUCUGUGCUUUAUGUGGCAAUGGAGCGAUGAUCCUUCUUAAGGAUGAAGAGUUGAUCCCUAAAAUUUGUGACCUUAUGGGAAAAUCUCAUCCUAGUCUUACUAGGAUCGAAGCAUUGAAGCUCUGUCAGGUUCUUCUGAGAUCUCCAAGAGGCUGCAAUCAGUUAAUGACUUCACAUUAUCAGCCUAUUGUUCAAGGCAUAAUCAAUGCAAUGUCUGAAAUUGAUGAAAAAUCAUUAGUAACAGAGGGCUGCCGUACAGCAUUACUGGCCCUUCGUUACCAUGGGAAUCAUCAUAGAUGCUUCUGGUCUAAUUCCAUUGAUGAAGUAUUAUAUAAGAUUCUUGCUGGGAGCUGCCGCUCUGAACAUCAAACCCAUCAGAUGGUGUGCCAUGGUGAGCUGUUCAACAAAGAUUCCAAAGACAUUAUGAAUAUAGAUCCCUAUGUAUGGGAUAUACUUGGAUAUCUAGCAGUACAUUGCAAUAACGAGUAUCUGUCUGCAAGAAAACGGAAAAACAAUUUCUUGCAGGCAUUGAUAUCUUGUGCUUGCUCACUAGCAACAGAUAUAACACAGAAAAACAGUUCCACAAAAUUUUCCAAAGAGGAGCUGGAGCCAGCUAUGAGGGCAGUUCUUAUGAUGCUCCUCUCUCCUAGCCAAUACAUUUUUUCUGAGGCAAGUUCUAAAUUUCUGGAAGUUGUUCUGCCAUUAGGUGAUGAAUGUAUGAACAUUCUCUUGUCGUCAUUAAACUCUAAUGUGACAAGAAAUCUUACCGCAUCUUUCGACUGUGUGAAAAUUAUGAACAACCUCAUGAAUCUAGCAUGCUUAGUGAUAGUGCAAUCUAACCAUAGUCUGAACAAGAGGAAUGCUGUAUGUGUAUUAUCCACCAUUUUAAAGGAAUGUCUGCACAAUCGUUUGUACAUUACGAGGUCAAACAUUGCUUCACACCUGCAAUUUUGUUUUGAUGGUGGUUCAUGUUGCUAUCUCGCUGAAGAAUGGGAGGGUGAAAAUGUUAUCCUAUUUUAUGGUCUCGUUGUGUUGUAUAAUGUGCUGAGGAGAGUCAGCCUUGUUUGUAUUCACUGUGAAAAGAAUUUGGAUGGGGGGAUUGUAUGCCAUGAUUGCAGAGAGUAUUACAAUGAAGGUUUAAUAAGAGUCCUGGAGCAUGCAUUGAGUCAAAACAUGAGCCCAGGACCCAAGUCUUACAUUGUACAUAUACUGAGUUUGUUUGGCCUCUGUGGUUUUCCAAGCAAAUUGGGAGGAAAGAUGAGAAGUGCAUUAUGUGAUAAUGAGCUAGUUGAUCUGGAACUGUUGCUUGCAGACAGUGAAUCUCUAAGUGCUCAUGCAGCUAUCCUAUCAGUAAGAUGUCCUAAACUUUUGCCAUCUGAAAAAUCCCUUGUCCAUGAUGGGAAAACAACUGAUGAAUGGAGGAGAAGAUCACUCUAUCAUGUCCGAAUGUCUGGUCGUGUAGACAGUCAUGCUCUGAAGAAAAUUUUGGAAUACACAUACACUGGUUUUGUCACAGUAGAUGCUGACAUGGUUAGGCCUGUAAAGACACUAGCGAAGUAUUGUCACUUGAAAUCACUGCAAGAGACGCUUCAGAGAGAGCAACCCAGAUGGAGCUCUGACUGUCCCGGAUAUAAUCUUACUGCAGCAGUUGAACCAGCUGAACAUUCAUUCUCGGACAUAAUUCUGGAGGCGCAGUCAAAUGAAAAAAUGGAGUGUCGCCAUGGCUCAUGCGAACUAUCAACUCCACAUGUGCAUAGCCACAAAAUUAUAUUGAGCAUGAGCUGCGAUUACCUUCGCGCAUUAUUUCAAUCUGGGAUGCAUGAGAGCUUUGCAGAGGCUAUCAGAGUUCCGGUCGGGUGGGGAGCCCUGGACAAACUAGUCCAGUGGUUCUACUCAGGGGAGCUUCCCAGAAUCGCCCCGGAUUGCCGAUGGAAGAACAUGAGCUCAGAAGAGCAACUGUCUCAUCUAAAACCCUACGCGGAGCUGUCAUCCCUGGCCGAGUUCUGGUUCCUGGAGGGGGUGAAGGAAGAGAGCCUUGCAGCGGUGGUCUCCUGCCUGAACUCCAGCACAAGCGCCUCCCUCGAGUUCAUCGGCUUCGCGGCCAACUUGGGGCAGUGGGGACUGGUGGAGACCGCCAUCGGCAGCGUGGCGCACCUGUACCCGAGGCUGCGGGACUCGGGUCGGCUGGAGCGGCUCGACGAGGACGUGCUCAACAUGCUGCGGGCAGAGUACGUUCGGUACUCGCAGCACCGCGGCGGGAGCUACUGAUUCCCGAGUGUGAUGUGAUGUAAACUGUAAUCGUGCAGUAUGUUUCAAUGUUUGUAGUUGUAGAGGUAUCUAUACGAGAUCAGCACGGUAGGUUUGCCGUUUGGGGAGUGUACGUUUCUGUCACCGAGUGUACAGUAUGUUAAUAUGAAGUAGACGUAAACUGGCCACAUCCUUUUUGUGGUGCAAUAUAUACGCAGUUUGUUUGUGUCCUCAA